UGAAUGCCGUUGCCGAAUUCCGGGUUUCUCCCUGGAAGCGGGGAACCCACUCCCUUGGGGCGCAUCGCUUGAAAAAGCGUAGGACACCUUUCGGUCCGAGCCCGACAGCUAACCUCGCAGGCAUCGACAGGGUAGCCCU
rnacentral:sRNA from 2 species